GUUUGAUCCUGGCUCAGGAUGAACGCUGGCUGUGUGCCUAAUACAUGCAUGUCGAGCGAAGUGGAUUUAUCACUUAGCGGCGAAUGGGUGAGUAACACGUACUCAACGUACCCUUCAGUUUGGCAUAGCGGUUGGAAACAACCGAUAAUUCCAAAUACUCGUAGAUGCCGCAUGGCAUUUACGGAAAAGACGCCUCAAAGCGUCGCUGGAGGAGCGGGGUGCGCAACAUUAGCUAGUUGGUGAGGUAACGGCCCACCAAGGCGAUGAUGUUUAGCGGGGUUGAGAGACUGAUCCGCCACACUGGGACUGAGAUACGGCCCAGACUCCUACGGGAGGCAGCAGUAGGGAAUAUUCCACAAUGGACGAAAGUCUGAUGGAGCGACACAGCGUGCAGGAUGAAGGCCCUAUGGGUUGUAAACU
rnacentral:rRNA from 2 species